rnacentral:lncRNA from 1 species
ACAUUCCGUCCACAGCCAGGACAGAGGACGGGGUUCUGUGAGGACACUGAGGGCAUCAGCUCACAGCUGCCAGUGAUCUUCAGAUGCUAACUAGCCCUUCAAAGUUUUUGAAACUCCUUCAGAUAAUUUGUUCUGACAGGGAUGUGGAGAACUUGGGACUGGGAAUGGUGGCCAGUUUCUAUCUCUUGGAAGAUCACACUCACCUGGUCCUCCAGUAGGAACCUCUCCACCUGAUUGUAUGCCUUUGUGUACUUGUGCUUAAUAACCAGUUCACACCAUCGAUGGCGAACCUGGGAAACAAGACAGGAAACCUGAGAGCAGACAGUCCUUAGCGGGGCAAGCCUACAGCCCUGGUGGCCCCUCACUGCCCCAGGCUGAAGGACAGGUGCCUGUGGACAUGGCCUAGCUCACCAAUGGCAGGAGAGAGAAGCUGGGUUACCAGAGACUUCCUAGGUGCCGUGAUGGCUGUGAGCAAGAAGGGAUCCAGGAGAGAGAAGGCACUGGUGGGGACCACACAGCUUAAGACCAACUAGCCUUGGCCAUCGAGUCCUGGUUGCAGAAGAGAAUAUGGGGCCUGGAUGACCGCUGGAGGAAGAGACAAGACCUUGGGGUGCUCACACCACCUCUGGGAAGUACAUCCAGGCGCACAAUUCUGGGAAUUUUCAAGACCAUUUGUACAGAGGACUCACUUGGACUCAUACCAACCCCAGCUAUGUGGCAAUUCUGUCCCAUGUACAAGGUUACUGUGAACCAGAAGUUCCCUCGGAGCUGAAAGGCUCUUCACUUGUUAACACCACAGAGGUACCCUGCUCUUCUGGUGUCUACAGUCUUAAAGCAUUGCCACUUAGAAAGCCACUUCUAUUCCUGAACUGUGCCUCAAAUUCCGGGCUACGAACCUGACCACCAUCAGAGAUCUCUUCUGGAAACAGUUGAUACCUAGCCUAGCUCUCCUCCCAACCAGGGGACAACAGUGUCAGCAUCCCUCUACUCUGACCAUAGGCCCUGACACAGCCUUUCUGUUCAAGGCCAGAUGCAGGGUACCACUGGUCCUCUGCCCUUUUGGUUUUGCCCCUGAAGAACAGGGCAGACACAGCUCAUUACUUAAACCACUGUUUACAGAACAGACUAUGUGGUGUACUGACCUAGAUCAUACAUUGCUAUCCAAGUAUUUCCUCCCCAAACCUACCAUGUCAACGGACAUCCAGGUGGGAACCCCUGAAACCUUAGGAUGGACCCAGCAUGACAUGCAGAGUAGCCCUGAGUGCUGGUCCCAACCCCCCAAGUCCUAUUGCUGUCUCUGCAGUUCCAAUUCCAGGCUCAGCAUUCAUUCUGAGGAUUAUUAAAGGGGAGAUCCUGCAUCUCACUGGUCUGUGGGAACAGUACAGGGGCUGAUCCAGUGCUGCGGUGGCCAGGCAUGGAGGGUGAUGCCAGCGCAGAGAGAAUGAGUGCAGCCAGCAAGAGCAAAAGGUUCCUGGCUGUAGGCGUGUGGGUCUGCCCUGCUUUAUGCUCCUACCACAGACCCAAAGUCAUGGGGCUAACCACCCAGGGGCUGGAACCAUAGCCUGAGCCAAAAGCAACCUGUUCUCUUUACAAGGUGAUUGAUUAUCUGAGCCAUUUGCUGGACUAACAGCUGCCUAGCAUACACAUACCAGUGUUUUACAUGAAGUUGCCUUUCAAGGAGUCAGCCAUUGACACCCCUCCCCCUCCCAGUGCUAUGGCUGUAGCUCAGUGGUUAGUGCCUACUUGGUAAGAUCAAGGAGGACCCCAGCCUCCCCCGAGCCUGCUUACUACUGCAUGUUGACUCAUUCUUUGUGUUUUUCAAACUUCCAUAUAUAACUAUUAGAAAAACCUGGGACCUCAGUGUUUACAGACAGAUACAGCAACUUAAAUCCUCAUGUCACGUUUGUAACAGUUAGAAUCCUUUAGCUUUGUUGCAGAACCAGGGUUGAGGCAGGCCAACAGGUGGACCAAGCUGGCUGCUGUGUUGCUAGGUGGCAAUGCUGCAGGGUUCUGUGGCGAGCUGGUGAAAGCAAGACAUUAGGCCACUGAUCCCACUGGCCUGCCUCCAAGCGCAGUGUCUGCCUGCAGCAGGCUUCUGAAUGGACAACGCUGCUGCAAACGGAGAAUGCUUUCAAGGACUUUGAAAUUAUAAUGCACAGUUGGAAGCUAUAAAAUGCUUUGAAGAAUACCACCCAUCCUAUUUAUGACAGGAAGCCCCUUUCUUUCUCAGUCCUUUUGAUUUUGAAAUUUACUGCUAAAGGAAAAAAAAAAUCUGUACAGGGAACAUGAUCUGGGAAGCCCAUUAAACCUCAUUUGGAGUUUCAUUUUAUAUCUGUAAACAGAAAGACGAAGGCUCGAGGCUCUUAUAAGUUAAUAAGUCUACACUGCAAUAAACAACCCUGCUUUUUCAAUUUGUGUGCUUAAAUUAGAUUUUCUUGCUUUAAAGAGGGUUCACUGGUGGUGAGAGGCACAGCUAUUGCAGGACUACAGGCUGAUGGCACUGCCAGCAAAGAGCUGUCAGCUAUGGUGCACGAGCCACACAGAACCACACAGAACUUUCAGCAUCUGGUUUACUCUACUGCUCCCCCUCUCCUCUCCCUCACUGCUCGCUGUUCCCAGAGGACUGGAACUCCGAGAUUGUUCUUCUAAUAAAGGGAAUUAGACCUUACUUCAGUUGCUGCUGUACAGACAUGUUAGUAAAUUCCUAGGCCAGGGUUAGGAGUGACUCGUGGAGACUGGGAAGAUAGCUGAAGGAGUAAAGUUC